UACGGAGGGAGCUAGCGUUAUUCGGAAUUACUGGGCGUAAAGCGCACGUAGGCGGCUUUGUAAGUAAGAGGUGAAAGCCCGGAGCUCAACUCCGGAACUGCCUUUUAGACUGCAUCGCUUGAAUCCAGGAGAGGUGAGUGGAAUUCCGAGUGUAGAGGUGAAACUCGUAGAUAUUCGGAAGAACACCAGUGGCGAAGGCGGCUCACUGGACUGGUAUUGACGCUGAGGUGCGAAAGCGUGGGGAGCAAACAGG
rnacentral:rRNA from 1 species